GGAGCUGUGGUGCAGCUGGUUAGCACGCCAGCCUGUCAAGCUGGAGGUCGCGGGUUCAAGUCCCGUCAGCUCCGCCA
rnacentral:tRNA from 1 species